rnacentral:rRNA from 1 species
ACAUUCAGUUGGGCACUCUAAUGAGACUGCCGGUGACAAGCCGGAGGAAGGUGGGGAUGACGUCAAGUCCUCAUGGCCCUUAUAGGUGGGGCUACACACGUCAUACAAUGGCUGGUACAAAGGGUUGCCAACCCGCGAGGGGGAGCCAAUCCCAUAAAGCCAGUCGUAGUCCGGAUCGUAGUCUGCAACUCGACUACGUGAAGUCGGAAUCGCUAGUAAUCGUGGAUCAGAAUGUCACGGUGAAUACGUUCCCGGGUCUU